rnacentral:rRNA from 1 species
AUUGAACGCUGGCGGCAGGCCUAACACAUGCAAGUCGAACGAGUGGCGGACGGGUGAGUAAUGUCUGGGAAACUGCCUGAUGGAGGGGGAUAACUACUGGAAACGGUAGCUACUACCGCAUAACAUAAGAUGUGCCGGGAUGGGAUUAGCUAGGUGGUGGGGUAACGGCUCACCAAGGCGACGAUCCCUAACUGGUCUGAGAGGAUGAACAGGCACACUGGAACUGAGACACGGUCCAGACUCCUACGGGAGGCAGCAGUGGGGAAUAUUGGACAAUGGGCGCAAGCCUGAUGCAGCCAUGCCGCGUGUAUGAAGAAGGCCUUCGGAUUGUAAAGGACUUUCAGCGGGGAGGCGUUACCAACAGAAGAAGCACCGGCUAACUCCGUGCCAGCAGCCGCGGUAAUAC